GACGAACGCUGGCGGCGUGCUUAACACAUGCAAGUCGAGCGAUGAAAUUCCUUCGGGGAUGGAUUAGCGGCGGACGGGUGAGUAACACGUGGGCAACCUGCCUCAAAGUGGGGGAUAGCCUUCCGAAAGGGAGAUUAAUACCGCAUAACAUUAGUUUUUCACAUGAAUUGCUAAUUAAAGGAGUAAUCCGCUUUGAGAUGGGCCAGCGGCGCAUUAGCUAGUUGGUGAGGUAACGGCUCACCAAGGCCACGAUGCGUAGCCGACCUGAGCGGGUGGUCGGCCACAUUGGAACUGAGACACGGUCCAGACUCCUACGGGAGGCAGCAGUGGGGAAUAUUGCACAAUGGGCGAACGCCUGAUGCAGCAACGCCGCGUGAGUGAUGAAGGCCUUCGGGUUGUAAAGCUCUGUCUUUGGGGACGAUAAUGACGGUACCCAAGGAGGAAGCCACGGCUAACUACGUGCCAGCAGCCGCCGUAAUAC
rnacentral:rRNA from 1 species